ACGACCUUACUUGAACAGGAUCUGUUCUAUAGGCUCGUACAUCUGUAUCCUUGAUUUCUAAGGAGACAGGAAUUUAUGUCUGGUUGAUGAGAUGUUGCCACUAGAUCAGAGCGUGAUUAACGGUGCUGUUGACCACCAGCUUUGGCUUGUGGUCACACUGCUGUAGAGGAUCAGGCUCACUUUCUUUUUUGCUACCCUGAUCCGGAGUAAGAUAAGCA